AACGGCAGCGGGCCUUCGGGUGCCGGCGAGUGGCGAACGGGUGAGUAAUGCAUCGGAACGUGCCAUUGAGUGGGGGAUAACGUAGCGAAAGUUACGCUAAUACCGCAUAUUCUGUGAGCAGGAAAGCAGGGGACCGCAAGGCCUUGGCGCUCUUUGAGCGGCCGAUGUCAGAUUAGCUAGUUGGUGAGGUAAAGGCUUACCAAGGCGACGAUCUGUAGCGGGUCUGAGAGGAUGAUCCGCCACACUGGAACUGAGACACGGUCCAGACUCCUACGGGAGGCAGCAGUGGGGAAUUUUGGACAAUGGGCGCAAGCCUGAUCCAGCCAUGCCGCGUGAGUGAAGAAGGCCUUCGGGUUGUAAAGCUCUUUCGGCCGGGAAGAAAUCGCAUGGGUUAAUACCCUGUGUGGAUGACGGUACCGGCAUAAGAAGCACCGGCUAACUACGUG
rnacentral:rRNA from 1 species